UACGUAGGGCGCAAGCGUUGUCCGGAAUUAUUGGGCGUAAAGAGCUCGUAGGCGGUUUGUCGCGUCGGAUGUGAAAGCCCGGGGCUUAACCCCGGGUCUGCAUUCGAUACGGGCAGACUGGAGUGUGGUAGGGGAGAUCGGAAUUCCUGGUGUAGCGGUGAAAUGCGCAGAUAUCAGGAGGAACACCGGUGGCGAAGGCGGAUCUCUGGGCCAUUACUGACGCUGAGGAGCGAAGGCGUGGGGAGCGAACAGG
rnacentral:rRNA from 1 species